AGUCAGAGAGAAAUACAGCGGCGUUUACAAGCUUGGAAACGUGAAAUUUCAGAUUUCUUGCUGUGGUACUGGUCUGCUGCCAAGCCAACUUAAAAAUGCUGGACACCCUGUGAAUGUCUUGAGAAUUAGGUGGCAUAUAUAAGACCAUCG